AUGAGAUGCUAACAAUUGUGCUAUGUUUUAAAGAUUGCACAGCUAGGAAGAAGAGAGAAGGGAGGAGCCAUGGAGGGAGAUACAUCCUUCCAGGUCAUGACCUCGGUGACUAUCUCUUCUGACCUCCUACUGGCAAGUCAGUAAAGCACUCCCAUUACGUAAUCACCUUCCAAAAGCCCCACCUGUGAGCACAUGAGGCCUCUGGAGGACGUUCAAUCUAAACCACAACAGAGUCACUUAACCUUUUCAUGCUUCAGAGUUGGGAAUCAAAUGAAUCGAUGUGAAGACUCGUAUCCUGGAAGAAGCUGGUUUCCUAGCAGAGUAUUCAGGGCUUCACGAGCCAGGAGGCUCGUGUGGAACUGUGACAGGUACAGCACGGAGGUGUGAGGGACUUGGCAAAGCCCCGUGUGCAUGCUGCAGCACCUGCCAGUGUGAGAAAAGGAUUCCGGACCAGACUCUCCAUCCGCAGUUGGUCUGCGAUUCUCCCUCAUAACCGCAGAGGACGCAAAGGUAUUAUACAAGCCUGCGCCUUGCAAUCUUUUUGUUUCUCCCCCUCCUGACUAUGCCAAUGCCUGUUUACUUAGCUCCGGUCCCUGCUGGUACAGAAAUGACAAAGUUGAAGGCUUAUAAAAUCACCUCGCA
rnacentral:lncRNA from 1 species